rnacentral:rRNA from 1 species
UGGGGAAUAUUGGACAAUGGGCGAAAGCCUGAUCCAGCAAUGCCGCGUGAGUGAUGAAGGCCUCAGGGUUGUAAAGCUCUUUUUACCAGGGAUGAUAAUGACAGUACCUGGAGAAUAAGCUCCGGCUAACUCCGUGCCAGCAGCCGCGGUAAUACGGAGGGAGCUAGCGUUGUUCGGAAUUACUGGGCGUAAAGGGCGCGUAGGCGGCCAGAUAAGUCCCGGGUGAAAUCCCUCGGCUCAACCGAGGAACUGCCUUGGAAACUGUCUGGCUCGAGGCCGGGAGAGGGUAGUGGAAUUCCCAGUGUAGCGGUGAAAUGCGUAGAUACUGGGAGGAACACCGGUGGCGAAGGCGGCUACCUGGACCGGUUCUGACGCUGAUGCGCGAAAGCGUGGGGAGCAAACAGGAUUAGAUACCCCCGUAGUCCCUGAGCGGGCUGGCAAGGCGCAU